CGGCGGCGGGAGCGGCGGUGGCGGGAGACCCGGCCCCGCGAUAAAAAGAGAAGAGGCCGGAGGUGCGCGCUGCGGGUCCGCGCGGUGGCACCGGCAGAAACGUGCCUGGGAAGGAGGGAGCCAGAGCAGGAGAGGGAGGCUGUGCCGAGCGACGAGCCGCCUCCCUCCGUCCCUUCCUCCCUCCCUCCCUUUCCUACUCCCGCCCGCCCUCCCGCAGGAAUCCCAGGCUGGCGGCGCGGCACGGCAGCACCCGGGACGCGCGGCUCCCCUUGGCUGCGCGGCGGCUGGAGGGAAGGAGGGAGGGAGGGAGCCGUGCUGGUGAGGAGGAGCCGCCGCCUCAUUCUGCGGCACCGGCCGGCGGCGUGAGGAGCGCGGCGAGCGCAGGUGGCAGUGUAGAAGCCAAGAACAAAAUUUGGCAGAAAUUAUUGUGUGUGCAAGAAAAUGAAGAGUGUACUCAUGACUAAGCACAGGAACCUGGAAAACCACAGGAUUGCUGGGAGGCCAUGGAGGACGGGAUGAACUCAGAGCUGGAGCUUGAGGAUUUUUUUGGAAGUGAUGAGUGGGAAGUUAUACUGGCUUCAGUCAGGUGAUCGCUGAUGACUAGUCAGUCCACCGAGAAGGGACUUCAGCACACAGGGAGCAAGAGUGGCCUUUGGCAGCACUGUGGUGUGCUGAAACUUCAACUGGAUCAGGCCCUCUCGCCUGUGGCAUCAACUGGAUGGCCCCUGUGACCAAUACCAGUGAUGAGCGUCAUAAAAGGAAUCAGGCAAUUUACCUAUUGCAUUUGGACCAAGACAAAGGUGAGAAAGUCAGAAGGGAAAAAUAGGUAAACUUCCCUGCUGGGAGAGGAAUGUUGCUAAAUGUUGUACGAAACAGGCUCUGCUGGAACAAUGAACUAAAACAAGUCUCCUGAUGAAACAGUCAACAGAGAGAAACAUAGGAGAAUAGGUGGGUGCUUUUGUCUGUGAGGGUGCAUGGAGUAGGAUGAACAGUUUCACCCCUUUCAAUAUUCCUUGUUCUCUCCCUUCCUGCUCUAAUUGAAUUUCUGUGUUAAAUUGAAGUACCCUUCUCCCAGAAAGCACGACAGACAGAAUCCAGCUGAACUUCAGUCGUGUUUGCAUAGCCAAGCUCUGAAAUUAGAACAUCACUGCCAGCAAUUCAGUGAUGCACCUUUCUGUGUUCCUUUUCUGCAGUAGGACAAAAAUGUCAGCUUCUGACUCUGAUCCCCCUAAUAAAAGCUAAGAUACUAAUCACCACAAAAUACACAACCAAAAAAGUCUUUCUUAGCAAUGAGGUCUAC